AGGUAAACAAAACAGCGCUCACAACAAUGCUAGAAGGCAUUGUGAAGAUUUCCGAAAUCAAAAGCAAAGUGUAUCAUAUGCAAUCACUUGUCAUGAGGAGAAAUCACAUCUGGAAUAUGAAGAACGCUUGAGGGCUGUUGUAGGCAUUGCAAGAUUUCUUGUUUCACAGGGGCUAGCAUUUCGUGGGCAUGACGAGUCCGACACUUCCUUGAAUAAGGGUAAUUUCCUUGAGAUGGUGGACUGGUUUGCCGAAAGAUGUAAGGAUGUAGCCAAUGUGAUGAAUGAUAAUGCUCCUGGCAAUCAUAAAUUGACUUCUCCUAAAAUCCAGAAACAAAUAGUACAAGCAUGUGCCGAAGAGACUAUGCAAGUCAUCAUGAAUGAGCUUGGGAGUGGUAAUUUCGCUCUACUUGUUGAUGAGUCUCGUGAUGCAUCGGUUAAAGAGCAAAUGGGUGUGAUUGUGAGAUUUGUGAACCAAAAAGGGGAGGUGUUGGAAAGGUUGCUUGGUGUUGAGCAUGUUGUUGAUACUAAAUCCGCCUCUUUGAAAAGAUCUUUGGAUGCAAUGUUUGUUAAACAUAA